ACACAUGCUGCCCUUCACUUUUCUACGGAGUUCACAUCAGUUUCAGCAAUCCGCGUUCUCAGUUCGCUUUGCCCGGGCGAGUGGGCUCCAUCAUCACCUGAACCAAAAACGCACCAGGGCGCGCCUGCCCAGGCACCAAGGCCGGAGAAACCGCACGUUUCGAGUCCCCAGUUGCUGAGAAACAAUCACAGCCCUCCUCUUUUCUUCCCCUUCUGCAGGUUCCGACCUGAAUCUGAAAGUGCUUCUAAAUCCCAUGCUUCACAGAACAUUCGGAGGGGGAGGCGCUCCGUGGGGGCUGCUGCGUGCCCAUGUAGCCGAACUGACUCGAAUAAAAGCGUGUCCACGUCUACAUCACACAUCGGUCUAUUUUAUGGACUUAUAAUAAUCACAUGUGCUAUUUUGAAGUGUUUUCUCAUUUAUUCUCUUUAACUGCUCACAACAGCAAAACAGAGUGGCUCAGAAUUUUUCACACCAUUUACAAGUUUAAAACUCAUGGCAAAGUUGUUCUGUUUCUUACAUGUCACAGUCAAUUGGUUUUGAAUGGUUUUGAAUCCAUACAUGUUUUUAAAAAUUAUGUGUCUCAGAAUAUAGUUCUUAAAAUCUAUCUUCCCCCUCCAUGUACUAUAAGGAGCUUUCCUGCAGGCUUUAUGAGUUUCACCCUGCUGUAUGAUGAAAUCAAGGCAGAACAAUGUCUUGAGCAAUGAUGUAUAAUUUCUAAAUCCCCUGAUAUAAUGGACACUGAGAAAUUUUAAUAAGAAUGAUGAUUCUCUAACCAAGAUUUUCUUGUGAAGCGUAUCAGUGAUAAACUGCAAAUCUGUGACAAUUCCUGGAUGGACUCAGCUUAAUCGACCAAUGUCAACUGCAUGCAUGAUUGUAACUUCAGCAGUUUCCAAACAAUGAAUCAUGUUAAACAAUAUUUAAGAGGCUAAAGGAACACAAGGAAUAUUGUGCGUAGUGCCAGUAAAACCACCAGUCAUAGAGCCUAAAGUGUUAAUUUUGACGUGGUCAUGGCACUUGGCAUUAUCACAAUGGUAAUAUUAGACACAUAAGAUGAGCAGAGAACCAGUCGUUCAUUCAUUCAACUGAUACGAGUAUUUGUUGAAUUCAGAUUCCCUGCGAGUCAUGGUGCUAGGCCCGAGGCUUCUUCAGUGCAGACAGUGUCUCAGCCAGCAAGGAGGUUACUAGGCCUGCAGAGAUUUUGUACUAGGCCAGGAGACUUUGCCAAGCAUUGGAUUUUGACUGGAACCCCAGGCACAGGUCCCACAGCGCUAUGCCUGCCCCUGUCCUAUUGGCUGGAAGAUCUACCAUGGACCCUGUGGGUCACUCCUUCCUCCAUCCUGCAUGGUGUCCACUGUGCGUGGCCAAUGGCUGCAGGAAUGUGGACUAAAGCCCCAGCCCGCAAAAGGAGGAGGCGAGAUUGAUCUAAGCCAAUGCGGUUGUCCCAGCCCCGGACUCCCAGCCCCUGCCCUGCCAGCAUUUGGAGUAGAUACAUCCAUAUGACGUAAUUAUGGCAAGGGGACAGCAGGGAAAGU
rnacentral:lncRNA from 1 species